rnacentral:rRNA from 1 species
CCUACGGGUGGCAGCAGUGGGGGAUAUUGCACAAUGGGCGCAAGCCUGAUGCAGCGACGCCGCGUGGGGGAUGACGGCUUUCGGGUUGUAAACCUCUUUCGUCGGGGGACAAGGCUCUGCUUGGUGGUGGGGUUGAGGGUACCCGGUGAAGAAGCGCCGGCUAACUACGUGCCAGCAGCCGCGGUAAUACGUAGGGCGCGAGCGUUGUCCGGAAUUAUUGGGCGUAAAGGGCUCGUAGGCGGCUUGUCGCGUCUGCUGUGAAAAUGCGGGGCUUAACUCCGUACGUGCAGUGGGUACGGGCAGGCUAGAGUGCGGUAGGGGUGACUGGAAUUCCUGGUGUAGCGGUGGAAUGCGCAGAUAUCAGGAGGAACACCGAUGGCGAAGGCAGGUCACUGGGCUGUUACUGACGCUGAGGAGCGAAAGCGUGGGGAGCGAACAGGAUUAGAUACCCGAGUAGUC